rnacentral:sRNA from 1 species
UGCGUAUUACUCUGAUAAACUAUUUGUAGCAAGUAUGUUUUUCCCAAUUCGUGUAGGAUGAACGUUUAUAAAAAUAUAAAUGAAAUUUAGUACUUAAAACUGUGUUUGGAAUCGGACACAGGAUAUUAGUAAUGGCUCAGGAAAAAACAAAUCCCAAAAAAGGUGGCGAGCAGAAGAGGGAGAAAAUAGUCGUUGCCGCCAUUGAUUUUGGGUCGACUUACUCUGGGUACGCAUUUUCGUUUCGCGAUGAUUUCCAGACAAAUCCUUUGAAGAUUCACACCAACCACUGGUCAUCUGUACAGUCUGGUGGAAUAUCAUACAAAGCACCAACAACUGUUUUGUUAAAACCUGAUCAGACAUUUCACAGCUUUGGUUACGACGCGGAAGAUAAAUAUGCAGAGCUGUCUGAAGCAGAAGAACACCAAGAGUGGUACUACUUCAGUCGCUUCAAGAUGAAACUUAUGAAUGCACUGGACAUAACUAAAGAUCAAACAGGAAGUGAUCAUCUAUUUUCUAAACUAGAGCGAGAUAUGGAGAUUGACGACAUAGAUGGUAAAAAGAUGCCCUUUAUGACCAUCAUAGCACAUGCCAUUCGAUAUCUAAAAGAACAUUUAUUGCGCCAAUUAAACGACAAGAACAUUCUAGAAGCAGUGACAGCUGACGGUAUUUUUUGGGUAUUGACAGUUCCCGCUAUUUGGACUGACUCUGCUAAACAGUUCACAAGAGAAGCAGCAAGAGAAGCCGGAAUUCAUGACGAUCAGCUGAUGCUGGCGUAUGAACCUGAAGCUGCCGCCCUGUACUGUCGCCUCCUUCCGAUUGAUAGAUUUGAGAGUGGGGGCGAACACCAGGAGCUAGUGCUUAAAACGUUUGAACGAGGAAAAAAAUUCAUGGUCAUCGAUCUUGGGGGUGGAACAGUUGAUAUUGCUGUACAAGAAACAACUAAAGAUGCUAAAAUGAAAACUAUUUACAAGGUUUGCGGGGGAAACUGGGGUGGAACUAAAGUGGAUGAGAGUUUUCAUACCUUUCUUGACCAGUUGAUUGGAUCAGAAAAUAUGAAGCAUAUAAAAAACGAAGACAGGUCAGAGUACCUUGAAUUUUUACGAGGAUUUGAGUUGAAGAAGAGAACGUUCAACAAUGAAUUGAAGAACAGAGUUGUUCUGAAGAUUCCUCCAGCUUUUGUGGAAUUAUUAUCAGAAAUAAGCGGUCAAAAAUUGGAAAAUACAAUCAAAACCUCACAACACAAGAGUUCUUUAUCAUUCAGUGGUGACAAACUAUAUAUCGACCAUUCCCUGUUCACAUCAUUUUUUGAGAGCUCGGUGAAUGAUAUCAUUUCUCACAUUAAAGAUAUUUUCAUUGCAGACGUUUGCCAUGAUUUGGCUGGGGUUGUAAUGCCGUUGCAAAAGGAGCGGUUGUAUAUGGACAUGACCCAGACGUUAUCUGUUCCCGAAUAUGUCGAUAUACAUAUGGUGAAGAAGUAUGGGAUCCUUUUAAUGAAGACCUUCAUGAACACUAUAGGCAAACGAUUAUUGAGGGAGGCUUAUAUUGCACCGGUUGUUUCCGAAAGUUUUUUACGAUUGGACAAGUAGUAUCGCAAGGGGAAUCGAUAGAAAUGACAUCCACAAUUUCCUUUGUCGACAACCAUAGGCAGAUUUUGCGCAAUUUUCCAAUAAAUGUGUCUGUAUAUAUUUCUAAAAAGAAGUCGCCUAUGUUCGUGGAUGAGGAAGGGUGUCUAUUGCUUGGAAAAAUUAAAAUAGAAUGUAAAAACAGUCAAUGGCCUGAGAGAGUUUAUGUCACAGUUAAAUUGGAGAUCACGGGGACAGAAAUAAAAGUAACACCUAUGAUGCACACCGGUGAGCAAGUCACUGCAACGUUUGACUUUCUGUAAAACUGGGGUUUUACCAUAAGUUUUCAGAUAACUUUGUCUUACUACUGAAGAACUACAGUUCAGAUUUAUAUAAAUAAAAUUAUGUUAUUAUUUCUCAUCUUUAGCAUGAGAGAAAGGCACUUCAACGUCAAUAGCACUGGAACUGAUGGUAU